GACCGCUCCGGUGGCCGAGUGUUUAGAACUUCCGCCUCGUAUGCGGGAUGUCUUGGGUUCGAUCCCCGGCCGUGUCA